GAUGAACGCUGGCGGCGUGCCUAAUACAUGCAAGUCGAGCGAACGGACGAGGAGCUUGCUUUUCUGAUGUUAGCGGCGGACGGGGGAGUAAAACGUGGAUAACCUACCUAUAAGACUGGGAUAACUUCGGGAAACCGGAGCUAAUACCGGAUAAUAUUUUGAACCGCAUGGUUCAAAAGUUAAAGACGGUUUUGCUGUCACUUAUAGAUGGAUCCGCUCUGCAUUAGCUAGUUGGUAAGGUAACGGCUUACCAAGGCAACGAUGCAUAGCCGACCUGAGAGGGUGAUCGGCCACACUGGAACUGAGACACGGUCCAGACUCCUACGGGAGGCAGCAGUAGGGAAUCUUGCGCAAUGGGCGAAAGCCUGACGCAGCCACGCCGCGUGAGUGAUGAAGGUCUUCGGAUCGUAAAACUCUGUUAUUAGGGAAGAACAUAUGUGUAAGUAACUGUGCACAUCUUGACGGUACCUAAUCAGAAAGCCCCGGCUAACUACGUG
rnacentral:rRNA from 1 species